GAUGUCAAUAACACAUGUCACCUCAUUCGCAGUAAGAGCGGCUUCCUGGUAGGCCUCAACCUCCAUCUCCCCCUCAGGUUCCUGAGUUAGAGGGGGAUCUACCACAUGGUCCUCUUUCUCGAUCGUUGCUUGCUCCCCCUGGUUAAAAGUCGACCCACGAGUGAUGAAGAGGUCGUAUUAUUUGGCCUUGUCCCUGAGACGGUAGAGAGACUCAGGGUCUGGUACCUUGGACUUGGUGUUCUUCUUGGGCUUUCAGACCUCGGUGGCCGCCCUCUUAUUCCUUUUCACCUACGGGUCAGGGAAAUCCGAGGACUUUCUUUUUUUGUUCUUCUCCUCCUUCGUGGCAGCCCCGGGCUAUCUCAAAAUGGAGGUCUCGGCAAGCAAGGACGAAUCCUCAUCCUCAUCCAGUAGCCUAAGUUCAGUGGUCUUAGGGAAACCUGUAAGAAAAGGUUAGCAGUAUGUAAGUUAAGAGCGUAGUGAUAACUAUUUAGGGAAGAACCUCACCAUAAGAACGUUCCUCCCAUUUUCCCUUCGAAAGUUCGCGCCAUGCGCGCUCGGAGUACGGCAUCUACUUGCAGAUUCCCUCGAUCAACUCAUUGAACUGGAGGAUUGCAUCAGGAACUUAGGCAACAAUUGCAUGACCACAAACACAGGCAAUGUGAGAAAGAAUAAAAAUAAAGAAAUACCCAAGAAAGACAAUACUUACGGGAUGCAUUCCACUCCUCGGGGAACUAUAUUUUAUGCCAUGUCAUAUUUAUAUUUGGAUUUUUCUCACUAAAUUUUAUGCCAUGUCAUAUCUAUGGUAGGGGUUUGAGCCAAAAUGACUUUUAAGUUACAAUAUAAAAGUUAAGUUACUUUUAAGUGACAAAAAAUAGUUAAGUGACUUUAGUGAAAUUGAAACAUAGUUGAGUGACCAUCACUGAAAUUAACACAUUUCAAGAAUAACUGAGUUCCUAGGGAAUUGGUUACCAGAUUUGUACAACCACGAUAAGAAUCUAAAAAACAGAAAAAGUGGAGCUGAACUGGAAGAGUUAUGAAUUCAGAUUAUUUGUAGAUUCGAAAUUAUAUUAUUCAGGGAACUUUCCAUAUCACUUAACGUGACUAUUUUGGUAUUUAGAGCACAAUAUCGAGUUUCCACAACAACAACAACAAUAACAACCCAGUAUAAUCCCAAUUAGUGGGGUCUGGGGAGGGUAGUGUGUACGCAGACCUUAUCCCUACCCUUGGGUAGAGAGGCNNNNNNNNNNNNNNNNNNNNNNNNNNNNNNNNNNNNNNNNNNNNNNNNNNNNNNNNNNNNNNNNNNNNNNNNGUUUCCAAAUAGACCCCCGGCAUCCUUCCCUCCAAGAACUUCCCACCUUGCUCUUGAGGAGACUCGAACUCACAACCUCUCGGUUGGAAGUGAUGGUUGCUUACCAUCAUAGCAACCCCUCUUGUCCAAUAUCGAGUGUCCACAUUUUUCCUAAAUUGUUUCAGUUGGCAAGUUUUAUGGUUAUAAAAAUAAGUCAAGUAAUAUCUCUUGUGAUUAAAAGCCAUAAAACUAAUUUCUCGAAAUAAACUCAUGAGAAAGUUAUAUCACUAGAGCAUCAGGUAAUAGUAAACUUGAGCAGAAUCAGCCAAAAUGAAAACAAAUUCCAGCAAACGAAAUGGUGCAUCAUAAGUAGUUCAGCUCGGGCUAGCAUCUGCAACUAAGACUUUGUUUCAAUUUGAGAAAGGGUUUGUACAGAUGAUCUUUGAUCAACUAAAGAGUGCUCACUUCAGUCAGAUUAUUGACAUGGUAUACGUAAAUAUCCCUGUUCUCAUCAUUGUUCCGAUUCUUGAGAGUAACUAGACCACAAUAUGCAGUAAAGUUCUCAAUAUAUUCAACUAGCUCAAUUGUAAAUGCUUGGGGUGACGCAUUGGUAAAUUAAGGGCUUGAUUAGCAGUAUUAUACGAUAGAAAAAAUGAACUUCCCAUCCUAUUGAAUAAACAUGACCAGUAAUCCAAAAAUAAACAACUCGGGAGUUGGAUGUGGGGCCAAAAACUGAAUUGGCUUAACUAGCUCAUGGGAUAAACUAUGUGGCAAAAAUGAGACAGCUUAUGCUAAUGAGAUGAUAAGGCCACGCAGAUAACAAAGACCGACAUGCGAGCAAAAAAUAGUUCUGUGUGAUGAAUGUCUCCCAAGAUCCAAGCUAGUACUCGCAUUUUUUUACUAGACAGCAUCUCUACUUCACAUCCACAUAGUUUACAGAAGACAAACGCAAGGGUUUACGCUUGCUUGGACAACUAAAACUUGGUUUACUUACGGCUAGUGUAUCAGUAAUAUAGUAUUCUUGUUAACAGAAGGAUCGAAAGAAAAGUGAGGAUUAAAGGUCCAAGCUAGUAAAAUCAACCCCUCCUGCCCCACCCAAACAGAAGUUUAGUAUUCUUGUUAGAUCACAGAAGGAUCGAAAGAAAAGUGAGGAUUAAAGGUCCAAGCUAGUAAAAUCGACCCCUCCUGCCCCACCCAAACAGAAGUUUACAGGGUUCUUAGUCGUAUAUUGUGGCUGUUCUUGUAUGGUUGUACUACAUACAUAAUAUUGUCCUUGUGGCGUUGGUCAUACAAUAAAAAAACUAUGAAAAUUAAUGUGUAUCAACUAAUACAAUUGUUGCUUUGGCAGGGAGCUCACGUAUUCUCCAACAUUGUCUGGUAGAGCUUUGCCAAGCAGUCCAUGAGCUGAGCGAGCCUUUUUUCCUUCCACAUCUGUAUCUGAGCCUUAAGUGUCACUAAAACAGGUAAAAAUAUCUGAUACCGAGUAUGGGACUGGAAGGGGCAUGUUGCAGCAGGUUUGGGAUCCACAUCACAUACUCAUAGCGCGCUAUACUCUGGUGGCAUAGCCAGGAAUUUUAUGCCAGUGGAUUGAAAAAACACAAGAAUGUCAUAGUUGGGAUAAGAACUUGUGCUCUGAAACAAUUUUUUAACCCCCUUGACUACUAUAGUAUGAAUUUUCCUUGUGCCAAAGGGAUUCAACAGUUUAUAUAUAACUAAAAUAUUCUAUAUUUAGCCUAUUUGCAGGUGUAUAAUUUUUUGAUGAAGGGAAAUCAAUUGAACCCUUCUCUCUUACUAGCUCAGCCUCUGGUCAUACCCAUUUGACAUGGGCAGAUGCUAAAUUGCACCGUAUAUAUCCACUUCCUCUUGCCAUUUCUAUGCAGAUAAGUCUAAAUUUAUGUAAUUUGACACAGAAGUUAUCCAUAUUUACUUAAAUUUCACCAACACCACAUAAAAAAUUGUUAUGUUUAAAUAGGGAGUAAAUAAUAUGCUGACAACAGUCCCAUAACCACCAAUUUCUUUGGACAUCUAACUUGACAAAUAGUCUUUAAAAAAGAAGGAUAAAACCUUUGUCAUUUUACCAAAUCAUCUAAGUCCAGAAUUGCACACUGAAGCAUAAUUGAUCCUUAUUUGAUAAAGCAAGAAUCUUUUCCAGAAUUUACAUAAACAAAGAGGGGCAAUAAAAAAAAGGAAGAAAAGAACUGACCUCAGAUUGAAAGUUCCAAUGAAACCCCAAGAUGCAGAAAGAAGACCAUAACUUGUUUAAAGCCAGAUUAAAAAUUGUCAAAAGAAUUCUGUCCAUAUCCCGAUUUGUGGGUUUCAUCCUUGCGCAGCAGGAGCCAUGUUAAUCUUCUUUCCCAAUUCUGCAUUCAUUUUCCAGCACUAUAUUUCCUUUUUUCCUUUCUUUUUCCAAUUAUACAGCAUACUCCUCCGUAGUCCCUUCCAGGUAUAGAUAGUUACUUCACCUUAGAGGUGUAACUUAAUCGUUAAUGUUUUGCUUUUUAUAAGAUUUUGUACCUCGACUAUAUAAUACAAUCACCUUUAUAGCCCGUUUGGCCAAGCUGCAAAAAUCAGCUUAUUUUGAGAAGUGUUUUUUUUCAAAAGCGAUUUCUCAAAAGUACUUUUGGUGAGAAGCAGUUUGUGUUUGACUAAUUAGUUUGAAAAGCACUUUUAAGUAGCAAUUAGUGUUUGGCCAAGCUUUAAAAAACUGGUUCUAAUGUAUUUUUCUCAAAAGUGCUUCUAAAAAGAGUGCUUUUGGAGAGAAGCUACUUUUUUCUGCUUCUCCAAAACUGCUUCUGCUUCUCCUCAAAAACACUUUUUUUCCUUCCAGAAGCUUAGCCAAACACCUCAAUUUUCGACCAAAAGUGCUUUGGCCAAAAAAAGCACUUUUGGCAAAAAAUAAGUUUGGCCAAACAGGCUAUAAAUGUAAUAUAGGUAUCAAGAACAAUUAUCACUCAACCAAGAAUAUUAUAAAGAGCAUGAUUACAAAUCUUACUGACUACUACCAAAAGAAACGAUAUUUUCUCUCUGCUUUCCUUAAAUUUCUGUAAUUUUUUUCACCUAGGAUUUCCUUUUCUAGUUUUAUUAGCUCGAGAUGCCUUGAAGUUGAUGUCAAGAUUCUAAAUUCGGACAGAUUAAACCGAACAGAAGCUAAGAACAGAAGGAAGGUGGAAUGUAGUUGAGUUAGAGGACAACAGAUUACAACCUGAUACACAAUAACUAACUAUUAUAUUCAUCCAAUGCAUGUGUCCUAUAUAUAUAUGUUCAAAAUAAUGUAUUCCCAUAUUUCCACAGGCAUAACUAUGUUUGUAUGCACACACAUAGUCACUAACUAGCAUCUCACCUAAAAUCACUAUUAGUGUACAUCAGUUGCAGCUAAUUGUACAAGCUACUACCUUAAACUUACAAAAAUGGCUGUUUACAUACUCUAUUUGAGUGAUAUUUUCUCGCACAUUUCGUAUAAUAAAAUGACAAUCAAUUUCCAUAUGAUUUAUUCGUUCAUGGAAGCCAGGAGUAGUAGCUAUCUGAAUAGUUGUUUUACUGUCAGGAAAACAUGAAAUAGCGGCUUUACUAACAUAGAAAAUAUUCAAUAAUCAAUAUCAAGGUCACUUCAGCUUAUAACCCAAACAAGACAAUAAAGAAAACGAAGAAAGAAACUGACCUUAGAUUGAAGGUUCCAACAAAACCCUAGCAAAACUGAACAUUUCCAGAAACAAAGAGGGAGAACAAAAAAUAAAAAGGAAAAAACGAAGGAAGAAACAAACAGACCUCAGAUUGCAGGUCCGGCAAAAACCCUAACAAAUCUGAAAAGGGGGCAAGAAGGAGAAAAAAAUUUGGACCAUUUCUCGAUUUGUGCGUGUCAUCCUUGCGCAGGGGCCAUGCUAAUCUUCUCUGUAUCGUUCCAAUUUUAUCGGAUGUCCCCGAAGGGACGAACUCCACUGUUGAGCUUUCGCUAUAUAAAUGUUAAGGAGUUUCAUAUUCUGGUCGGUGUGGGACGAGCUGGUUAGGGUCUUUCGUUGCAGUAGAACCGGAUAGAGAUAGUCCAUUUGAGCUUUCGCUAUAUAAAUGGUAAGCAGUUUCACAUUUUGGUCGGUGUGGGACGAGCUGGUUAGGGCCUUUCGUUGGAAUAGAACCGGAUAGAGAUAGUCCAUUCCUUUUAUCGUUCGCUUGAGUGAUUUUUACGUAGCUAUAUUUAGAAAUUUAUUUAUGUAUGUUUCUAUACUUUACAGUUUUUAAUAAUUAUUUAAAUUCUGACAACUUAUAUACAUUAUUUUUUAAGAGGCUUUUAUUCCAUUAUUAAUGUCUUCAAUUAAGGAAUUCAAUUACAUCAUUUUCUCUUUUUUUUCCUUCUCAUCUUCUCUAGUGCAAUCUAGUAUUUUGCUUCGCUGGAAAACGCUUUGUUCUCUUCUUUAUUAUUUUAGUUGCAUACAAUGAUACAAAUACAUUGUAUUCUAUACAAAUACACUCAAAUACAAUUUAUUUGUGUAUAAAUAUAUAUUCUUUUCCCAUGUAUUUAUAUAUUCCGAAGGUCUGUAUAUUUUAAAUACAGCCAAAUAUCACUAUAUUUUGUGAUUUUUUGUUGUUUGAAUACAGUAAAUUAAAUGUAAUAUAUAAUAGUGAAUAAUGAAUAUAUGUGGAUUGAAUACAAUUUAUACAGUCGAAUUAAAUAGAGCAGUAUACACCCUAUUUCUUGAUUACCUAUUAAAUUUAUAAAUACAGUCACAUGAAUAUAUAGAAUACAACACAAUUGUAGCGAAAUUUAUGUAGAAUUAAAUUAGGAGUGAUACAUGCUAAUUAAUCCACUUUCCGUUAUUAAACAUCUGGGUUCCCCUAUUUUUUAGGCGAAUUUCGCUAUUGUAUUCAUGAAUAUAAUAGUACGAAUACGGAAAAUAUAAUAGCACAGCUGGACUCCCCUAUUUUUUAGGCAAAUUCUGCUAUUGUAUUCAUUAAUAUAGUAACGGCAAAUAUAGGAAUACAAUCGCCUAACAACUAAUUAAAUAGUAGCUAUAGGGAAUAAUUAUAUAUAUAUUAGCUAUAGAAAUUUAAUAGUCACUAAACAAUGCCUUGUGGUAUAUAAGCUAAACACACACUAAUCUCAAUCACACAUAACAGUUAGGAAAUAGAGAAUGUUAUCAUAGACAAAGAAAGUACUCAGAGCAUGAUUCUCUCAUUCACAUGCAUAGUAAUCUUUAGACUUUGAAAUUGAACAUAAAAUAAAUCAUCCCUCUAACACCUAUCACUCAAAUUGGAUAUCAUGUCCCUUUUUAUUACUAAGAAUAAACUCUCUAUAUUUCAAGAUACCUCCCCUGCCCUAUAAUUGAUUCUCAUUCUUUCUACUUUAAUUCAUUACAUUUCACAUCCCUCCUUUUUGCUAGCAUCUGUCGGUUUACAAAGAUUGAGUGCUUAAGUGUCAAAACCUUAAGCCUUUAAGAUAUAAUUUUUUUGGUUUAAAUUUGAUGACAUAGGAAAUAAAAGUUUGAGAUGUAGGAAUUAGGUUGUUAUUGAGUUUUUAGCCAGCAUAAAAUGAAAAGGAUAAGAUACGCUAAAAAAUGUAGAAAUAAACGUACACACACGUGUUUAUGGAGAUAUAAUAUAAUCCCACUUAUAAGACAUCUUUUUCUUUUGAUAUGUUAAAAAACGUAGAAAUAAACGUACACACACGUGUUUAUGGAAAUAUAAUAUAAUCCCACUUAUUAGAUAUCUUUUUCUUUCUUUUUUUUAAAAAGGAUAUUAUCAUCUAGAAGUGAAAGGAUAUUGUUUAGCUCAAAGUUCUCAUCCACUUAUAAGCAUAAAUCAAUUAAAAUAAAGAGAGGUCCAAUCAUAGCAUAUCAUAAUAAAUCAUAAAACCAGACGGAAAAUAGAUGAGACAAAGGUUAUAAGUUAAGUAGGGGGGAAUGAGAUAUUUUAUUGAUUAAGAUUGGCAUGGUCUGUCUCUCCAUGGAGAGGUUCAUAACCUUACAAUGAUUUGUUCCCCUUUUUUAGAAGUAGGGGUGAAGAAGAAGAAGCAGCCCCCUUUUUUAGGGUUCUUUCUCUUAAUAUUUAUAGCUGUGAAUCUUGCCAGCUGGCAAUGGGCGGCCGUGGUUGCAUUGAAGGCACAUCCGUGAACAAUGAAUAGGCCGUGGUCUCGCUAAUUAGGUUGAGUAACCUUAGAGUACUUUGGUCGGUGAAUGGUUAUACAUUUUAUUAGCCCGAACGAUCUUAGAAGCAAGCUAGACGCGCAAUGAGUAGGUCGUGGUCUCGUUAAUUAGGUCGAGUAACCUCAGAAUACCUUUGUCAGCGAAUGAUUAUGCUUGUUAUUAACCUGAACGAACUUGAGAGCUAAUUAGACAUGCUAAUUAUCACGAACCUAAUUUCGGCACAUACAGAUAGUCCCUCCGCUUAUCGAGGUUGUACCUCGGUCGAACUCGGUGAGCGGAUGAUGCCGGCUGUAUCCUGAGAGGCUCGAGGGUUAAGGCCGACUAUUGCCUUGGCCUUGGUCGUGGUUGAAGACGACCGGAGCUAUUUAAGCUGCGGUCAUCAUAUUGUAGAAGUUGACGACCGUAGCCACUUUGCAGGGACGAUCCUUGACCGUAAUGGAGCUGACGUUAGAUGAGUUCACAUUCGAAGACCGUAGUCGCACUCCUUUGGUUGGUUUUUAUACGAGCGAUGGGCCAUGGCCGUUCAUAUAUUAGAGAUGAUCGUGGCCAUUUAUUUGCAUGUAUCCUUCUUUUGGCAGGAGACCGUAGUCAAUUUAUUGUUAAGGGACGGCGAUAGCCAUUGCUUUGAGAGGUCUGUAGUCGUCCUUACUUCGGGAAUGGCCGUAGCCGUUUUAUUUUCAAGAGGUGGUCGUGGCCGUGGCCGUGGUUACUUCGGAUUAGAUGCAAUUAAUAUUACUUUCGGAGGCGGCCGUAGCCAGCAUUACUUUGAAGAUGGCCGUAUUCACUAAUGAUUUAGAAAUGGUCGUAGCCAAUUACAUAUGCUUGGGGAGGAUACGAUCAUGCUUACCGCGUAUAAGGAAGGCGUCAUAUGUUUGGGGACGCACGGGGCAUGCUUUUGGUAUUUUGGCACCGUUACAACCGCUUCACGGGUGACGUGCUGAUUGACGGUUGAAUGACUGUUCCAUGGUAUCUGUCAUAAUGAUGCUCGUUACUGUAGACUCGAGCCGUUUUGUGGUUGGUCAGGCAAUUAAUGAUGGCCUUAGGGAUUCGUGAAAGCUAUUUGUGUUUUGUCUAUAAAUAAGGGGUUGUAACAUUCAGUUCUUACUUUUCCAACAUUUGCUUAAGUGAAGUUUUAGAGAGACAGCUCUUCUGGUUCUCCGAUUAAUUCAUCUUUUGCUUCUCGUUACUUCAUUCUUCGUCGUUUAUCGUCAGAUCUUCAUCUUCUCUUGCUUUUCCGGUGAAUUUUGCUCACUUCCUUUAACUAUAUUGACAAUGAAGAGCAGCUCUCGUUCUGAUAUUGCUCCGGUGGCGGUUACGGCGGCUAAGGGUCCAUCCACAGUGGUGAGAACCACCGAUUCGGCGAAUAUUGAUAGGCCUUCGUCGGCGACCGACAUUCUUUCUCUGCCCGCGGUCUGAUGACUGAUUUCUCCGACCCUGAAGGAGGGGACCAAGUGGACGAGGCCCCAUUGAUGGGGGAGGUAGGCAUCGCCCAACUGAGGGAUCAAUGUGACAUUCCUCGUUUUGGUGACAUCAUCCUCGCUGGGAGCGGGGAGAGGGUUCAUGUCGACCACUGAGGGUAUUGCAUUUUCUACCCUUACCCUUUCAAGCUAUGAUUUAAACUCCCCUUCCAAUGCUAGUAGUGGACUUCUGCCGCUACAAUAGGGUAUGCCCCGGUCAGCUCGUCCCUUCCUGCUACAAGCUGUUGGCGAUGUUAAUUAAAUAUACGGAGUUGGCACGGAGGGAGAUUAGCCUUGGGCACGUGUUAACUCUCUACGCCCUCCAGAGAGUACGAGGCACAAUGAUUCGGUUGGUUCCUUGUGGGGCCGGCGGCUUAACUGCGGAACUUGAUGACGAGGUCGAUAACUGUCCUUACGAGCACUUUUUCUACAUCGGGACCGAGCACAUGGUGGCUUGUGCUACUGACUUCCCAGAGGAAUGGAAUCAUGCACGUAAGUUUAUUUUACGUUGGUCUUAAUUUCUUUUGGUUAUAUGUCCUGUUUCGUGUUCGUGCGUACUGACCUUCCUCUUGUGCCAUAGCUGGAGGUGCACCGCCGACGCCAUUUUCUAGAACCCGCGAGUGGGUCGAGGCCGUGCUUCCUGUUACAGCGUGAAUUCGCACGUGGGCAUCUUUAUCGGAGUUCCAUGGCCAUAGACUGGCCGCUGGUAAGAACCUGACUUGCUAUGUUAUUCUACUUUCAUGGUUCCUAGUUUCUUUUCCUUGACCCUUCUUCCGACAUCCGUGAGUGGGUCGAGGCCGUGCUUCCUGUUACAACGGGAAUUCGCACGUGGGCAUAUUUCUGGGAGUUCCCUGGCCGUAGGCCGGCCGCUGGUAAGAAUUGCUAUGUUAUUCUACUUUCAUGGUUCCUAGUUUAUUUUCCUUGACCCUUCUUCCUUUGCUGGUUAGGACGACCACGUCGCAGGAGGGCUCCUCAGCUUGCUUUCCGCAGGCUCGGGGCGACUGCCCGAUUGGUUGUGAUGUCGACGCCUCACCCAGUCCCGAGGGCGACAUCGGUUGAAUCCUCAGUGGCUCAUUCUCCAGCACGGUCCGUGCACCGAGUUGAAGAAUCUUCAGGGGCCGUGCGUUCUAGAGUGGAGUUGCCACUGAAUGAAGAUGAGGAAGAAGAGGAGAGGCCGCUGGUUCGGCGUAUGGUGGCGUUCACCCUGGUCCUUCCGGUGGAAAUUAGUUUUGAUUCUCCGUCAUCGGACGCGAAGGGGAAUGCAGCGGAUCCUGCCCCAGAGGGUGAGCAUUUAGUGGGGGUUGCCCCGGUUGGCUUAGGCCAAGGUGACACAGUCAUUUCGGCGAUUCAAAUUUCAGCUCCUGUUGCUGAGAGGGAGGGUAGUUCCUCAGUAACUAUUUUGGUGGAAGAAACGGGCACCAAUGUUUUGGCGAGCGCGAGUGAUUCAACCUCCCAAGUAGUGGAGGCCUCGAUUUCCAGGGCUGCGGAAGGAGGGGGCACCUCAGGAGAGGGGGAUGAUUCUGAGUCCGACUUGGACCCUGAAGACGUCCGCCUAUUCCACAAGGUUUUUACCCGCCCAGCGAUAUAGGGCGAAGGGAAUUAUCACUAUGUGGAGAUUCCUAAUAAGCAAAACCUGCUGUUCGAUGAGGAUAAUCUUGUGACGCUGUUCAAGGUUAUAUGCUCGGAGGCGGAGAGCAUUCCUUGAGGGCAUCUCAGAUGUUGGGCUGAUGGGCGAGGUGGUCGCUCUGGGUAUAAAGGUACGUGUGUAACCUUGGUUUGUUUCUUUUCUUAGUUUGUCUUUCUCGUAUUAACUGUUGUUCUGUUUGCUGUAGUCAUUUUUAUGGAGGUGGAAAGCAUCCGCUGGGCCAACGUACGCUCGGUGCGAUUGUUGGAGAAGUACCGCUGCUACUGGGACCGGUGUCGUGACUCGCGUGAACGCUUAAGGAAUGACCUACGGAACCAGGAGCUAGUAGAAGAGAUGGCGAGGAGGGAACUUCAUAUGCAGCAGACCCUUAACAGGGUAAAUGCUCUCGAGGGGCAGCUCCAUCAAAGAAAUGAGGAGAUAGACGCUGAAAGAAGGGCGGCCACUGAGAGAGAGAGAGAAAGAGUGCCAAAAUCAGGCUACGGCAGCAAAGGCCACUGAGGCUUUGACUAGGCAGGUGGCUGCCUUAGAGACGGAGACUGCAAGGAGAUAGAUGCUGAGAGGAGAGCGGUUACUGAGAGGGAGCGCCAAAAUGAGGCUACGAUAGCAGAGGCCGCUGGGGUUUUGACUAGGUAGGUGGCUGCUUUGGAGGUGGAGACCGCGGCCUUGAGGAAGCAGGCAGAUGACGCCAUGGCGAGGGUCGAAGUGCUGCAGGCGACCAGCCGCGCCCAGGAAAGAGAACGUGGAUUGGAGAGGGCUGCGGCUUCUUUCCGAGAUAGGGUGUUGGAGGGGCGCAUUGCUACCUGUGAGCAGGAUGCCCGUGCUACGGCGGACCGCAUUGUGGCCUUGGAGGCCGAGAACCAAUGCUUGAGGGACCGGGGUGCUUCUUUCGGUCGUGCUCGCAAACUUUGGACGUACGCUGACGCCCAGCUCGAUGUGUUAGGCUGUGGGAAGCCGGCAUUAUGCCUGAGGCCACCUAUGAAGAGGCCCUCCAGAAGGCUCACGAUGAUCGACUCGACUGUGGUUUUGACCCGUCUACGCCCGGAGUUGAUGACGGCGCUGAGGGAGCAGAUAAUGUUGAAGGUGGCGCUGGUGGCGCCGAGUGAACAAAGAAAAAGUUUGUAAUAUUUUUUAGUUUUCGUUCUCUUUUUUCUCUUUCUUUUUUUGUUGUCAUUCGGCUAUUUUUUUUUUACCGGCCCUGGGCUAAUGUAAUUGGGGGUAACCCUUUGUAGAUAUUGUAAAUAUAUGCGACUUUCUUCCUUUCUGUUUAUUUUUUAAUUGAUUCGUACGUUUUUUUUUUGCGCUCAUUCGAGGGGGCCUCGAAUUGGUUCCUUGCCUUAAGAGGGAAUUGAUGUUGAUGGCUUUGGCCAUAGAUAGACGCUUUGGGUCAUCGCCUUCUUCCACUUGGUGGGAGCGGGUUGUAGCCAUGUUUUGGUGGUGGCAGCACAUAGCCUUAGUCCCAGUUCGGGCUUAGUCGACUACUGGCCCUGGUGAUGAAAAGCACGGCCUUGUGGUUCGACAUGGGCCAAACUUUGCGUUGGCCAAAACUUUAGUUUUAAGUUAGUCGUACUUACUUGAAUGUCGGGGGCGCUUGGCCCGAGCUGGUGUUCGAUCGUGGUUGAAAAUUUGGUGGUGCUCGGCUCCGUCUGAGUGUAGCCCGGCUCGUAGCUACGGAGACGCAUACUUUUGGCAUUUAUUCGACCGUGGUUGAUUCUGUGACUCUUGCGACAGAGGUGUGUGGCCUGAGCCCCAAUUCUACUCGUAGUUGAACUUUUGGGCGAGGAUACGUAGCCUGAGUUGUUGUUCAACCAUAGUUGAUCUUUUGGCGCGGAGGCACGUAUCCUGAGUUGUCGUUCAACCUCUUUUAUAUUUUUCAAUGGCGAAGGCACUUGGAAUGAGUCCCAGUUCAACUCGUAGUUGAGCUUUUACACGAAGGCACGUAGCCUGAGUUGUUGCUCAACCGUAGUUGAUCUUUUGGACAGGGGCACGUAGCCUGAGUUUUCGUUCAACCGUAGUUGAACCUUUUAUAUUUUUCAAUGGCAAAGGCACUUGGACUGAAUCCCAGUUCAACUCGUAGUUGAACUUUUAGACGAAGGCACGUAGCCGGAGUUGUUUCUCAAUCAUAGUUGAUCUUAUCUCUUGCGGAGUGUUUUGAAGUGAUGCGAUUCUUAUGUUUAUAGUGAGAAGAUUUCAUGUGUAAUUGGAAGGUAUUUUGAGGUGAAGCAGGCAGGUUAUCUCCAGCAGAGUGUUUUGAAGUGAUGCGAUUCUUAUGUAUAUCGUGAGAAGAUUUCAUGUGUAAUUGAAAGAUAUUUUCUAUGUGUUAUGACUCAAAUAGGUGCAACGCAUGUCCAUAUAUCAAUUUUGAUAAUAGAAUACAUGUAGUAUUGAGAUUAGUGUUGUUGAUAUACAUUGUGAUGCUUUGUCAAGUUGUGGACGUGUUGUUGGGAUGGUUUUUGGGUGAUUCUCUGGCAGGUGGAUAGGCCCAAUUGCAAAGGAAACUCUACCGAAAUUUUUGGAAAAUUUGGGACUUAGUAAAAAAAUUUAUCGCCUAAAUAGUGGGCUUAACCGUUGUGUGAAUGAAUGCAAGAAUUGCAGAAGGGUUAAAAAAUUUUAUUAUUCAUGUUUCCACAAGCUUAUGAAAGAGAGUUUAAUCUCACCAUGAUAUUACAACAUCAAAAGAGUACAUGUAUUGUGGUAUAUAUGGCUUUGAGCGAAGUUGGGGAGGUUGCUGUUGAUUAGCUGAUUGUAUGAUUAGGUACUAUGUUAGUUCCGAUUUGAUGCAUGCGGGUGAAUCAAUUUUGAUUGCAGAAAUUGAGCCGAGGAUGGCACGAGUGAAGCAAAAUUUCGACAAAGGCUAUAUGGUGCCUAGUAGAUGUGAGAAAAAUAAUAGGAUGUCUUGAGUUUUUGAUAAAGAAUGCUUAGUGUAAAGAGAAGGAAGUGGUAUGGUUGUAUCGGAAUGAGGUCAUGUCCUGCUGUGUCAGAGUGUUGAUAAGGCACGAGUGGUUCGAUUCGUUAAGUCGAGAAAUUUGCAGUCUGUAUAAGAGUUGCUGACUCUUGAGAAUGGUGCUGAGGUGUUCAAGAUUCUAUAUGUAGCACUCAGGUGCUUUUAGGUUGAGUAUGUGACCAAGUCAGUUUUUUUAUUAGAUCAAGUCAAGGCUUGUGGUAUUUUUACGUUACUUACGGAAUUUUAUGUAUCAUUAUCUGAGAAGCAGGGGUAGCGAACUUAAAUUCGCAGGAAGUUCUUCAAAGUAGGGUAUUUUGGAAGGUCGUAUUUUGGGAACGUUUGAGAGAGUAUAUGAUGGCCUAUUAUUCUUAGACAGCGUGGUCUUAUGUUCGAGUCUCGUGUGGUAAUACUAGAUUGAGGCAUUGUGGUGCUACAGCGAGAGAUAUCAAGUUGAAAAUGAAUUAGAAGGAAAUCUAGAUACUCGGUAUUUUUGUGAUUAUGGGCAAAUUCGGCUCUAUGUUCAUCUACCUAUGUGAGAAAUUUGAAUGAAUCGGGUGGCACACAGCCACAUGGUAUGUUAUCUGGAUCGGUUUGCGCGCCGCAACAGUGUGAUGUGGAGAAUAGCUCCCAUAUAUAUUUCGUAUGCCUUGUUCGUGAUCGGUAUAAUGGGUUGCUUGGGUUAUAGGCACUAAUCGUGCGUGGUUGUCAAGUUCGAGUAUAGCGACUUGAGGUGCUUCAUGUGAAAUAGUGUUUGGAUAUGGGUAUAAUGGGUUGCUUAGGUUCUAGGUACUAAUCGUGCGUGGUUGUCAAGUUUGAGUAUAGCGAUUUGAGGUGCUUCAUGUGAAAUAGGUUAGGAUGAGAUCGCGCAUUAUAGAGAAGCCACGUGGAGAUUAGACCCUUCGGGAAAGAUUCAAGUAUUCUAUUUCUAUGAUGUGGGACGGGGUCCCAGUCUUGUGUUGUGAUCGUAUUGAUGAGCUUAAGGUACAACUCUUUCGUUUAAGUCAUUUACAUGACUUGAGUAUGUUCAGACCGUCUCUUAUUGGUGUGUGUGUCAUGUAAGUUGUGGCUUAGGCCGUAUUGAUGGGUCAUGUCACCAGGAUGGUGUUGUUUGGUUAGAAGAGACCUUUGGGGUCAUUAAUGGAUACGAACGGAUUUGGUUUCAGCUUGAUGGAUGGUUAAUAUUGAGUUUCGGCUCGGAGAUCUGGUUUGGUAUAAGUCAAAGGGGAAGAAAUGUCAUCGUGAAUGGUUGAUCAGAGAAAUGGUUAUGGUCUACUGCAUGUUCAUUAUCAUUAUUAGAGUAUACCAGUGUUGGAAUAAGGCUCCAGCUACUAAGGGGUUUCUAUUGGUACAUGGUUGUUGUGGACAGCUACUAUGGAUAUAAAUUAUCAUUUCUAGUGUUAGGAUUAUGCGGUAUAUCAUGUGAGUGCACUGAGGUUGUAGGUAUGGGUUAUUACAGCCGGUUUAGGCUUAUUCUGAGUAUAACUGUGAGGUUCUGAUCUUGUGUAUGAUUUCGGAGGUGCAAUGUGGUUCUACGGUUAUGGGCUAGAUGGCCUAUGAAAUUUUUAGUUGUGUUGUAUUAUCGGGCAUAUGUGAGUUAGGGUGACGUGGGAUCACCCCGGGUAUAUGUUUAGUAAGGUCAAUCGGAUAUUGGUUGUCUCCUAGUACAACUCUGGGCACACUCGAGGAUGAGCGUUUGUUUAAGUUGGGGAGGAUGUAACGACCUGACCCGUCGUCUCAUGUACCUCUGCCCCGUUUUCCCCGUUUUAUGCUUCUAUAUGUUCUAUUAUAUGUGUUUGGUGAAUUUGAAGUAAUUCGGAUAGAGUUCGAUUAGAAAUGAGACAAUUAGUCUCUUUAAGAGAAAGUUAGUUUGGAAAAGCCAAUUGAAUAUUGACUUAUGAGUUAGAAGGGUCGGAAUGGAUUUCUGAUGAUUCGACUAGUUUCGGGUGAUGAUUUGUUAGUUAGGAGCGCAAUCGGAAUUGAAUUUGGAGGUCCGGUGUAGAAUUUGGCUUGAAUUGGCUAAGUUUGAAUUUUGACGAAUUCCAGUUGGUAGGUGAGAUUUUGAUCCAAGUGUCAGAAUGGAAUUCUGACAGUUGCAGUAGCUCCGUUAGGUGAUUUUGGAUAUUCGUGCAAAGUUUCAGGUCAUUCGGAGGUGUUUAAGUUGGGUUUUAGAUCAAAUGCAAGUUUCGCAAGUUUUAGUUUAACUUAGGCUUAAAUCCGUGGUAAUUUGAUGAUUUUAUUGUUUAUGCUACGAGAAAGUUUGAAUGAAGUAGUGGAACGUAUCUAUGCGUUUGGUUGAGGUCCCGAGUGCCUCAGGGUGAUUUCGGAUGGCUAACGGGGAAUUUUGAACAUGAAUAGUGCAACAGAAAUUGCUCUCUGCGAUCGCGAGCCUGGGGCUGCGACGCAUAGAAGGCUUGGAGAGGGCCUCAGAUUUUCUCUAUACGAUCGCGUAAAGUGGGAUGUGAUCUCAUAGGUCUGGAUAUUGGUCAGUGCGAUCGCGUGAGGAAGUUCGCGAUCGCGUAGGGGCGAGUGGCAGUUCUCUAUGGUCGCGUGAUGUUGUGUGCGGUUGCGUAGGAGUGGAAGUCAAUGUUCUGCGAUCGCAUGGGCUUUCCUGCAAUCGCGUAAGAGGAAAAUUUAGUGGACGUAAUUUGUUCUCUGCUAUCGCGUGACUUGGGAUGCAAUCGCAUAGAGGAAAAUGGAUCUGGGCAGAAUGGUUUUUAAGGGUUAUUUCAUCCACGACCCAUAUCAUAUUUCCUCCAUUUUUACUCCACCAAGAGAGUUUUUGAGCGAUUUGAAGAGGGUUUUCAACGGGUAUUGAUUGGAAGCAAGUCUCUUGACUUAGAAACACCAUUUUAUGAAAAAUCAACCCUCAAAUCCAUGAAAAUAUGUUGAAAUUGUGAAGAACUAGGGCUUGAUUUUUGAAAACGAAUUCUUGGAAAUUGGAAGACCAUUUGAACUCCGUUUUUGGUAAAAUUUAUAUGUACGGACUCGUGGCGAGAUGAGAAAUCCGAUGAUGUGAUUUUCGAAAUUUUUCGAGAAGUGGGCCUGGGGCUCGGGUUCUACCAAUUUCGUGACUUUUCGUGUUUUUCGAGUAAUUUCAAUUGGGUUAUGUUUCUUUAAUAAUAACGUAUUCAUUGUGGUUUUCACUAGAUUCUAUGCGUGUAGAGGGAGAUUCAAAGGAAAAGGCAUUGUGGACCAGUCUACGACCGGUUAGAGGUGAGUAGUUUGUAUACAUGAUGGCCUGAGGGUUUGAAGCCCCGGUUUAUCACUUCAUGAUGCUAUGUUAGGGCGUGACUCACACUCCAUGGCAGGUGUGGGAUUGUAUAUGAUUGGGGAUUGUUACUUGGUCCAUUCUUCGAGCUAAAUAUAAUUAUUAGCGGUUAAUACGCACAUUGUAUUGUUGAUAAUUGGGCUUAUUGCCAUGUUUGGUGCCUUGUGCCGAUCUGUAGCAUCCGUCUAGGAUGAAUAUCAUUGUGAUAACAUGAUUUGCAUAAUCAUUGAUCUCAGUCCUAUGCUUAGUCACUGUUAUUAAAUGCUAAGUCACUUUUUUCCUGAAAUUAUUUAACUAAAGUAUAUUCACCUUAAUAAUUGGAAACUGGGAAAUAAGAUUGAAUUUGUUAUGUGACUCAUAUGCAUACUGUGGACUGAGUAUGGGCCAGGCUACACGUCGCAGCAGUGAUAUGAUGAUAUUGCGCUUGGGCUGUAGGAGCCCCUUCGAAGUCUAUACACACCCCCAGUGAGCGCCGUCAAUGUUAAACGGAUCCGGCUGUACGCUGUAGCGGAUUCAUGUGCAUUGCAUUGCAUCUUUUCAUGAUACUUGAUUGAUAUAUUUGAUAUUGCUUUGUUGUUAGUUCGUAGUUAAGGUGUCGGACUUUUAGUUUUAGCUUUGCUUUGUGGCAUUUCAUGGAUUUCUUAUCUUCAGACAUCUUAUAUUCUUAUUACUCACUGAGUCGGUAGUAUUCACCCCUACUCCCUGCACCUUGUGUGCAGAUUCAGGUACACCGGAGGCUUAGCUGACAUUCGUAGUCUUCAGAUAUUUUCCAGAGUCGUUGAGGUAGCUGCUUGACGUUCGCAGGAACUGGCUGCUCUUCAUAUCCAGUUCAUUAUUAUUAUAUUUAGCUGAUUCAGUCAUUCUCUCCGCAGAUUGUUCAGAGUUGUUGAGGUAGCUGCUUGACGUUUGCAGGACCUGGCCACUCUUCCUAUUCCAGUUUAUUUUUAUUAUAUAUACAUUUCCAGACUUAUAUUUUGUGAUUUAGAUAUUAUUGUCUAGUUGUUUUAGAGGCUCUAGACUUGUGACCUCAGAUCUUAUGGGAGUGUUUAUCGGUUUCGUAUCUUUCCAUAUUAUUCUAUUAAUAUUAUUAGAUUAUUAUUCUAAAACUAUUACAUUCCUCCAUAAGUUGUCGGGUUUGAGACUUAUUGUCAAAUGGGAGCGAUUGUUGGUGAGGCUUGCCUAGCUUUAGGGUUGGACGCCACCACGGCCAGCUUGUCGGCUGAUACGCAUAUUGUAUUGUUGAAAAUUGGGUUUAUUGCCAUAUUUGGGGACUUAUGCCGUUUUGUAGCACCCUUCUAGGAUGGAUAUCAGUGUGAUAGCAUAAUUUGCAUAAUCAUUGAUCUUAGUCCUGUGUUCAAUCAGUGCUAUUAAAUGCUAAGUCACAUUUUUCCUGAAAUUAAAUAAUUAAAUUUUAUUCUUCUUAAUAAUUGGAAACUGGAAAAUAAAUUGAAUCUGUUAUGUGACUCAUAUGCAUAUUGUGAACUGAGUAUGGGACCUGUGGGCCCAUAACCCAUAGGUGCCAGGUUACUAGGCCUCACGAGUCAUGAGCCGGUUUAGUAGAGUCUCGCGGAUCGAUACGUGGACGUCCAUAUCUAUCCUCGGGAGGCUACAGAACCUUUAGGAAACACUCGACUUUCUUGAAAUCUUAUCGUGCAUCCUUGAUUCAGCUUGAAAGAGUAACUCUUGAAAUUAUUUCCACGUGUUCGCAUGCGCGCAUGAGCGCUCGGUAGUUGAUGUGCCUUGAUGGCUUGUGACUCCCUGAUCGAGGGGCGAGAUGUAAUCUUUGUUAGGUCGAUAUUGGGCCAGUCUGGAGGACUUGAGGCUGAGUCUCUGCAUAUGGCUUGAGCACCAGAGCACUAAUUCUGCGAGAUUAUGUUAUGAACUCAUAUGUUCGGUAUUGUCGCUAUUAGCCGGAAUGGCAGUUUUGUAUUUGUGUGAUGGUGUAUGUUAGUACUGCGACAUGCAAUUAUUUGACUUUGUAGCGACGAAGAAAUCUGAUGGAUAAUAGAUGAACUGUUAAGUCAUAUGUUUCCUAUUGUGGUCCAAUGUGUAGCCCGAAUAUAGGCGCAUGAAGAAUCUUUUCAAGUCUCCUAGUGGAGUUAAGUAAAUUGCAUGAUACGAUAUGAGUUCAGACUCAGCAAGACUAAGUAGCUGUGUAAUGUGUAUGACGAGGGAAGGUAUACAUAAAUAUUAUAUUGAGGUGAAGCAGGUAGGUUAUCUCCUGCAGAGUAUUCUGAAGUGAUGCGAUUCUUAUGUGUAGUGUGAGAAGAUCUCAUGUGUAAUUAAGAGGUACGUGUUGUAUCUUGCAAAUUUGAGUCACAUCAGAUAGCGGACUCAGCUGACGUGGGGGAUGAAUGCGAGGUUGCCGAGGAUUUCAGUAUCUGAUGACCGGUGUCUUAAUAAGGUAAUAAGUAAUUUGAGUUUAAUCUCACUAUGGCAUGGUGGUAUCAUUAGAGUAAAGGUAUUAUGAAUUGUUGAGUGUGUCCUGAUAUAUGGUUUGAGCCAAGUUGGGGACGUUGUUAUUGAUUAGUUGAUCGCACGAUUAUGUACUAUGUUAGUUUCGAUUUGAUGAAUGCGGGUGAAUCAGUUCUGGUUGCAAAAAUUGAGCCGAGGAUGGCUUGAGUGAAGCAAAAUUUUGAAAAAGGUUAUACGGUGCUUCGUAGAUGUGAGGAAAUAAUAGGAUGUCUUGAGUUGUGGAUAUGGAAUGCUUAGUGCAAAGAGAAGGAAGUUAUUUGGUUAUAUCGGAAUGAGAUCAUGUCCUGCGGUGUCAGAGUGCUGAUAAGGUACGAGUGGUUUGAUUUGUUAGGUUAAGUAAUUCGCAGUGGGUAUAAGAGUGGAUGACUCUUGAGAAUGGUUUGAUGUGUUCAAGAUUCUAUAUGUAGCACUCAGGUGUUUUAAGGUUGAGUAUGUAACCAAGUUAGUGUUUCCGUUAGAACAAGUUGAGACUUGUGGUGUUUUUACGUUAAUUAUGGGAUUCUAUGUAUCAGUAUCUGGGAAGCAAAGGUAGCAAACUUAAAUUCACAUCAAAUCCUUCAAAGUAGGCUAUUUUAGAAGGUGGUAUUUUUGGGAGCGUUUGGAAGAGUAUUUAGUGGCCUAUUGGCCUUGGACAGUAUGGUCUUACGUUCGAGUCUCGUGUGGUAAGCCUGGGUUGGGGCAUUGUAGUGCUACCGCAAGAGAGUAUAUCAAGUUGAAAAUGAAUCAGGAGGAAAUCCAGACAAAUGAAGUAUCUUGUUAGUGGACCGAAUCGGUAUGGUAAAGAUAUGCUCAAUUCUUUGUAUGUGUUCGAGGUAAUGAGGUUAUACAAGCGUGGGGCAGCAAGGCUCGUGAGUACUGAGAGUCUGCUUGGCUUGGGUCAAGAAGAAGGAUUUAGUCCUGGCAGAUUAGCUUGCGCAAAUCGGAUUGGGAGAGAAUUCUUGUUAGGCUUAAUCGUGGUUUGGAGAUGUAUAUUUCUAUGGACAUGUGGAGAAUGGAGUGCGUAAUGACUUUUUCUUCUAAAGGGGAUCAAUGAAAGUUCUAAACUAGUUGAGUGUGUCAAAGUAUGCGACGUGGAAGGGAGACGAAAGUUCUCGUGUUAUCCUUGGAAAUAUGGUAGGUGCGGUAUAUUCUAGAGGGCCGAGACUGCCAUGUGUGAGGUUUUGGUUUAGAUCUGAAAGGAAGUUCAUAAAGUUCUUAGGCAACGAGUAGCCUCAGGUAAUCAAGGAAAUGGUAUUAGUAAUUGGAAGUGACUUGACGAUAGAAUAUGUCUCGGAAGGAGGGUAAGGUGAUCAGACUAAUGAUACAUCAGUAGUGUUGCGACAUUUUCUUAUUGGAUCGACUACCAAUAUUCGAGUUUGCUGAUGGCACAGGGAAAUUCUAGAAUAUCUUUCAUGGAAUGAUUUAGUACUCGGUGUGUGAUAGGCAUUCAUAUGGCGGAAUGUAGAAAUCAUGUAUAGUGAUUUGUAUGUUAUAUGGAGUUGGAGACUGGAGUUAUCCAAUGCAGUGUAUGUAGCGGUUGUAGAUCGUGUGCAUUGGCAUCAUAAACGGCUAUUGGGAUUUUGAAGCCUGAGUAGAUCUUGCUUUGCUUGGUAUGUUAGAUUUGGACAUGAUAUUGGUGUGUAGACUGGUUGUCUCUGUGUUGGGUUAUUUUAGACCGUUGUACUAUGGGUCAUAUUGUAAGAUGCCACAGGUUGCGUGGCGAGGUGCAUCAGACUAUGUUCUAGCUGAAUGGUUGUGUUCCAAGGACCAGCAGACGGCUGGUAGGAAUUGCUUUCCAUAAUUUGGCCUUUGAGGCAGGAGGCAGUGUAGAGGUUUCUACCAGUGAUUCAGUUCCGGUGUUAAGGGACUUUUUGGAUGUGUGUUCUAGUAUGAGUUUACUCGGUUGGCUCCGAAUUGUAUUGUCGAGGGAUAAGCUGACUCGAUCAUUGCUGAGCUUAUCAGCGAUCUAGAUAGAUAUAUGAGUUGUUUUCUACUUUGCGAGACGUUAUGAUUUACGAACUAUGGGCACAUAUGGUGUAGUGCUAUCGGGAUUCAUAGUGGAAGAUUGAGAGGGAAACCUCAGUUAUGCUUGGGUUUGGUAGCUUAUAAUGCUAUAUGUAGAUAUUGUAUGCACUCAGUACGCUUAUGACCGGUACUCGGUAUUUUGUUAUAAUGAGCAUAUUCGGCUCGAUGUGCAUCUCCCUAUGUGAGACAUUUGAGUGGAUUGGGUGGCACGCCGCCACAGGUUAUGUUAUCUAGAUGGGGUUGCACACCGCAACAAUGUGAGGUUGAGGAUAGUUUCUGUAUGUUACUUGGUAUGCCUUGCUUCCUGGUUUUUGAGGAAGUCCGUAUUAGGAGUUGCUCGGCGAAUAGCGAAUCGAUUGUGUCCUUUUAGGAUUGAAUGGUGUAUGUAACUUGCUUCACUAUGGGUGUGAUGGAUUGCUUGGUUUUAGAAGUCAAUAUGUGUGUGGCUAUAUAUUUUGAGCAUGGUGACUCGAGGUGCAUCAUGUGUAACAGUGUUUGGAUAGGAUCGCGCGUUGUGGAGAGGCUACGUGAAGUUAUGGCCUUUCAAGGAGUAUUCAGGUAUUCUAUUCCUACAAUGUGAGAUGGGGUUUCCGCCUUGUGUUGUGAUGGUACUGAUGAGCUUGAGAAACAGCUCUUUCAUUGAGUCAAUAUUGUGAUUUGAGUAUAUUCAAGUCGUUCCUCAUGGGUGCGCGUGUUAUGCAAGUGUGGCUUAGGCUGGUGAUGAGGUGUCAUAUCACCAUAAUGCUAUGUAGGAUUCGAGGUGAUCAUUGAAGUCAUUAAUGAAUACGAACGAAUCUGGUUGCAGCUUGUUGGAAGGUUAAUACCGAGGUUCGACUCGGAAAUCUUUUGUGUUAUUAGUAAAAGGGGAAGAAAUGUCUUUGUGAAUGGUGGAUCUGAGAAAUGGUUAUGGUCUACUGCAUGUUCAUUAUCAUUGAUAGAGUAUACCAGUGUUGGAAUAAGACUAUAGCUAAUAAGGGGUUUCUAUCUGUACAUGGUUGUUGUGGACAGCUACUGUGGAUAUAAAUUAUCGUUUCGAGUGUUAGGAUUAUACGGUAUAUCAUGUGAGUGCACCUGAGAUUGCAUGUAUGGGUUAUUACAGCCGGUUCAGGCUUAUUUUGAGUAUAAAUGUGAGGUGCUAAUCUUGUGUAUGGUUUUGGAGGUGCAAUGUGGUUCUACGGUUAUGGGCUAGAUGGCUUGUGAAAUUUUUAGCUAUGUUGUAUUACCGGGCAUAUGUGAGUUAGGGUGACGUGGGAUCACCCCGAGUAUAUGAUUAGUAUGGUCAUUCGGAGAUUGGUUGUCUCCCAGUGCAACUCUGGGCACACUCGAGGACGAGCGUUUGUUUAAGUUAGGGAGGAUGUAACGACCCAACUUGUCGUCUUAGGUAUCUCCGCCUCGUUUUCCCCAUUUUAUGCUUCUAUAUGUUUCAUUAUAUGUGUUUGGAGAAUUUGAAGUAAUUCGGAUAGAGUUCGGUUAGAAAUGAGACAAUUAGUCUCUUUAUGAGAAGGUUAGUUUGGAAAAUUCAACCAAAUAUUGACAUAUGAGUUAGAGGACUCAAUUGGAUUUCCUACGAUUCGACUAGUUUCCGGUGGUGAUCUAUGACUUAGGAGCACAAUCGGAACUGAAUUUGGAGGUCCGGUGUAGUAUUAGGCUUCAGUUGGCUAAGUAUGAAUUUUGGCGUAGUCCGGUUGAUAGGUGAGAUUUUUUAUCCGGGGAUCAGAAUGGAAUUCCAACAGUUGCAGUAUCUCUGUUAGGUGAUUUUGGAUAUGCGUUCAAAGUUUCAGGUCAUUCGGAGGUAUUUAGGUCGGGUUUUGGAUCAAAUGCAAGUUUUGGAAGUUUUAGUUUAACUUAGGCUUGAAUCCGUAGUAAUUUGAUGAUUUUGAUGUUUAUGAUAGUGUUUUUAUGUUACGAGCAAGUUUGAAUGAAGUAAUAGAACAUACCGGUGCUUUUGGUUGAGGUCCCAAGAGCCUCAGGGUGAAUUCGGAUGGCUAACGGGGAUUUUUGAAGAAGAAAAUGCAGAAAAAAUUGUAGCAGAGAAUUUACUCCAUGCGAUCGCAUAGAUAGAUCUGCGAUAGCAUAGAAGGCCUAUGAGGGGUGAAGAUUUUUCUCUAUGCGAUCGCGUAGUGAGGCCUGCGAUCGCAUAGGUUGAUGGCGUUGUGCAGUGCAAUCCCGUGAGGGGUUAUGCGAUCGCGUAUGAGGGGUAGGUGAAGCUCUGUGAUCGCAAGGGGUGUCAUGCGAUCGCAUAAGAGGAUUUGAGGGCCCAGGGAUUUUGUGCUAUGCGAUCGUAGAGGCUUGGAUGCGAUUGCAUAGGGAAAUAACUGGGCAGACAUAAGGGUUUUUAAUAACAUUUCAUCUGUGAACCAAACCUAUGUUCUACCAUUGUUAAGCAACCAAGAGAGUUUUUGAGCAAUUUGAAGCGUGUUAUCAACGGGUAUUGCUUGGAGGUAAGUCCCUUGACUUAAAAACACCAUUUUUAUGAAGAAUCAACCCUCAAAUCCAUGAAAAUAUGUUGAAAUUGUGAAGAACUAGGGCGUAGUUUUUGGAAACUAAUUUUGGGGAUUUGAAAGGCCAUUUGAACUCCGUUUUUGGUAAACUUUAUAUGUACGGACUCGUGUCGAGACGAGGAAAGGUUUUUGAAAAUGAAUUCUUGGAAAUUGGAAGACCAUUUGAACUCCGUUUUUGGUAAACUUUAUAUGUACAGACCCGUGGCGAGACGAGGAAUUUGAUGAUGUGCUUUUCGGAAUUUUCGUGAAGUGGGCCCGGAGCUCGGGUUUUACCAACUUUGUGAUUUUUAGUGUUUUUCGAGUAAUUUCAAUUGGGUUAUGUUUCUUUAACCUAUAAUAACGUAUUCGUUGUGGUUUUGACUAGAUUCGACACGCGUAGAGGGAGAUUCAAAAGGAAAAGGCAUUGCGGACCAAUCUAAGACCGGUUAGAGGUGAGUAGUUUGUAUAGAUGAUGGCCUAAGGGUUUGAAACCCCGUUUUAUCACAUCGUGGCGCUAUGUUAGGGUUUGACUCGCACCCCAUGGUAGGUGAGGGAUUGUAUAUGAUUGGGGAAUGUGAAUUGGUCCAUCCCAAGAGCUAAAUAUAACUAUUGGCGGUUAUACGCACAUAUUAUUGUUGAUAAUUGGGCUUAUUGCCAUGUUUGGGGCCUUGUGCCUAUCUGUAGCACAGUCUAGGGCGAAUAUCUUUGUGAUAACAUGAUUUGCAUAAUCAUUAAUCUCAGUCAUGUGCUUAAUCACUGUUAUUAAAUGCUAAAUCACCUUUUUCCUGAAAUUAAUUAACUAAAUCAUUUUCAACUUAAUAAUUGGAAACUAGGAAAUUAGAUUGAAUCUGUUAUGUGAGUCAUAUGCAUGCUGUGGACUGAGUAUCGGUCGGGCUACAGGCUGCAACAGUGAUAUGAUGAUAUUGCGUUUGGGUUGUAGGAGCCCCUCUGGAGUCUGUACACACCCCCAGUGAGCGCCAUCGAUGUUAAACGGAUCGGGCUGUAUGUCGCAGCGAAUUCAUGUGUAUUGCAUUGCAUCUUUACAUUAUACUUGACUGAUAUAGUUGAUAUUGCUUUGUUGUUAGUUUGUAGUUAAGGUGUCGGACUGU
rnacentral:lncRNA from 1 species